UCAAACUGCCAGCAGAAAGCUUCGCAUCGCUGCCCGUCCAAAACUCUAACAGAUAAGAUGUGUGUGUGGGUGAUUGAGAAAAAUGUUUAAACAGAUAGCGUUCAUGCCCAAUGAAGAUGUUUUCCAUCCUUGUUCUUGAUCACCUGACUGAGAUUUAAUCUCUCCGGGUUUGAAGCCAAGGCUGGCUCAACCUGGAGCUGAGGGCACGGCGGAGCUGCAGACACUCAAACUGUUUAAAUGAGGAUUUUCUUUGUAACUUGACCUUUAUCGACACCAUUGUUGAGCAGCCCUCCCGUCUGAAUAUUUUGACUUAUGAGACAGCCUCACUUUGUAUUGCUGCUAAUGAACACUGCAAAUACAAGAAACAUUGCUCCAGCUGGGGCAAUUAUGUCCAAAAGGUGUUGUUGUCAGCAGGCAUGAAUACAUUCAGUGUAAACUAUUAGGGCUGGGAAUCUUUGGGUGUCUCAUGAAUUGGAUUCGAUUUUGAUUCCUGGGGUCACGAUUCGAUUGAGAAUCUAUUUACGAUUCAAAACAAUUCUGGAUUCAUGAUUCAAAGUCUAUUUUUGAAUUUGUACAUACUUCAGCAUCUACUCCAGUCCUCUAUAAGACUGGCUGAAUUUAUCGCUGCUCCAUUUGGCAUUCUACGGAGUUAAAGAGCUAGCCUUAGCACUUGGCAGUAACUAGGGCGAUUUUUGGAAGUUAUGAAUCUUAUUAAAAUCUCAGAAGAAAAGGGGCAGGCAACUGCUUUGGGGCCCCAGGCCAGUAGGGGGCCCCAAAGCAGCGGCCAAAAAUGUGCAAAUUUUGCAAUGAUUGUAGGAAACCCCAUCUGACAGCACUCAUUCUCGUUGCCCUGCUGAAUUCUGGUUGGAGGGCCCUUCAAUUGAUUUUUGCCUAGGGCCCCAAAAGGCUCUAGAAUCGCCACUGACUAUAUGAAUAUAUAAAGGCAGACGCUCUUACAUAACCAAGCAAAAAUGUUCAUUUUAACAACAAAAAAGGAAUGAGUGAGAUGAAACAAAUAUGCUGGUGUGUUCAGUCUGACGUUGGCUUUAUUCUUGCCCGUUGUUGGCAGGUCAGUUUCUUGAAAACCUGACAGACAUGAAGGACGAGUUCCUAUGAAUUAGGGCAGAGGAUUUCUGUUUGAAAAAGAAAAUGUUUUGUUCUCUAUCUGUUAACUCGACUAACAAAACAU